rnacentral:rRNA from 1 species
GUCCACGCCCUAAACGAUGGCAACUGGGUGUUGGGGAAGCGAUUCCUUGGUACCGUAGCUAACGCGUGAAGUUGCCCGCCUGGGGAGUACGGCCGCAAGGUUAAAACUCAAAGGAAUUUACGGGGACCCGCACAAGCGGUGUAUGAUGUGGAUUAAUUCGAUGCAACGCGAACAACCUUACCUACCCUUGACAUGUCCGGAACCCUGCUGAGAGGUGGGGUGCCCGAAAGGGAAUCGGAACACAGGUGCUGCAUGGCUGUCGU